CGCCCCCAGGCUGAGAUGCCCCAGUGAUCCCACCCUGGCCUUUCCACUUGGUUUCCGGCGCCCUGCGGGACGGCAUGUCAUGCAUUCAUUGACUGAGUGCUUGCUGUGUGCCAGCCACUGUUCUAGGGACUACGAUCCAACCUAUCAGCCAGGCGGGUCAGCGCUUCUGUUUGGACCCUGAAUUCCUCCACAUUCCCCCAUGCUCACCCCCCACCAUGAUCCCAGCUCAAGACACCAUCUGGAUUUCCUUACAGCAGCUGCCCCCCAGGCCUCCAGUUGUCUGCCAUCAGCCUCUGGUCUGUUUCUCCCACAGCUGCCAAAGAGUCAGGUCAUGUCUCUCCUUUUCCUAGAGAACCCUUUGCGGCUCCCAGCUCACUCAGAGCAAAAGUCCAAGUCUUCCUGCACCCCCGCAAGGCCCUGCACCCUCUUCCUGUCCCCUCCCUGCCCUCCUCUCCCACUCACCCCUCACUCACUGUGUUCGAGGCACACUGGCCUCCUUGUUGCUCCUCAAACACACCAGGCACAGUCCUGCCUCAGGGCCUUUGUACUUGCCCUUUCCUCGGUCUGGAACAUUCUUCCCAGAAUUUUAACAUGGCCUCCUCUCUCUCCUUACUCAGGCCUUAGCUCAGAUGUCCCCUCCUCAGAAGCCCUCCCUGACCACCCCCAUUUAGCGUUGCUCCUCCUGGGCACUCUCUAUCACAGUCCCGCUUUGUCAUUUUAGUAUUUGUCUCUCUCUGGAAUUGCCUCGUUUGUUUGCCGGUGUUUAUUAUCUGAAUUCCUCCACCAAAAUAUCCGCUCGCAGAGGCUGAGCCUGGGUUUUGUUCAGUGCACGCCCCUCAACACUCACAUGCCCCAGCUCUGUCGUACCCUCCCAAGUGUUGCCCCGCUCACACAGGUGAGCUCCUAUGCGUGUACUGUGGCCACAUCCCUGGCUCCCCUUGUCUUCUCUCGCGGGGUUCAGCCGCUUGCAGCCUCUCAGAUGAGGACACACAGGCCUCUCACACGCACUUGCCAGUACUCAGAACACGUCUCCCACGUCCACACGUCACCCCUGUCUGCCCCAAGUUCCACUGUGUCCAAGCCCACAUGUCCGGGUGGCCACACGCACGGGCAGGUGCCUCGAGGUCUUCAAGGUCACACACAUCACCUUGUUCACACAUUCAGCAGACGCUCCUUUCGUGCCUAUUGUGUGCCAAGAGCCGGUCCAGGCAGCGGACCCGCCCAGGACCAACACAGACAAAAUCCCUGCCCCCAGGCAGCUGACGUCCUGGAUGGGAAGACAGAUGGUGGGUAGGUCAGAGGGUGGUAAGUUCUUAGGAGAACACUUAAGUGGGGAUGCGGGUGGGGGUUCUGGGAUGAGAGGCCUUUUUUUUUUUUUUUUUAAGAUUUUUUUAAUUUUGAGACCGCAGGCACGCGAGCAGGGGAGGUGCAGAGAGAGAGAGACAGAGGGAGAGACAGGAUCCCAAGCUGGCCCUGUGCUGUCAGUGCACAGCCCGAUGAGGGGCUUGAUCCCAUGAACUGUGAGAUGGUGACCUGAGCUGAAAUCAAGGCGAGGAUGUUCAACUGACUGAGCCACCCAGGUGCCCAGAGGGGCGGUUUGAAACAGAGGAGUCAGAACUUACUAAGAAGAGGGCACUGGAGCCAAGACCUGAAGGAAGAGACAAAGGUAAGAGCAUUCCAGGCACAGGGAGAAGCAAGCCCUGAGCUAGAGCCUUUGAGGUGCCCAAGGAAUAGCAGAGAGGCCCGUAAGACCGGAACAGAGCGAGCAGGGGGGAGAGCAGGAGGAAUGAGAACAGGGAGGGGACGGGGCCAAGCGUGCAGGGUCUCAUGGGCCCCAGAAGGACUUGGGCUUUCACUCUGACUGAGGUGCGAGCUCCAGAAGGUUCUGAGCUGGAGAAAGGCAUAUUUGCUAUCAUAUAUGCACACCAAACCGGAGCUCUCCUUGCCCCCUCCUCGACGACACCAGGCCCCCCACGACAGGGAUGGACCACACCCCUUGGAGCCAGACUACAUGUGUAACAUCCACCACCUUUCCAGGAGCUCAACCUGGGGACCAAGACCCUGAGUCCAGCAAGGCUUGCAGCAGACACGAAGUCCCAGGAGGAGCUGAGGGUCCAGGAGGAGCCUCUGAGUGAGGAAGGGG